AGUGAACGCUGGCGGUAGGCCUAACACAUGCAAGUCGAACGGCAGCACAGUAAGAGCUUGCUCUUACGGGUGGCGAGUGGCGGACGGGUGAGGAAUACAUCGGAAUCUACUUUUUCGUGGGGGGUAACGUAGGGAAAAUUACGCUAAUACCGCAUACGACCUACGGGUGAAAGAAGGGGAUCUUCGGACCUUGCGCGAUUGAAUGAGCCGAUGUCGGAUUAGCUAGUUGGCGGGGUAAAGGCCCACCAAGGCGACGAUCCGUAGCUGGUCUGAGAUGAUGAUCAGCCCCCCUCGAACUGAGCCACCGUCCAGACUCCUACGGGAGUCAGCAGUGGGGAAUAUUGGACAAUGGUCUCAAGCCUGCUCCAGCCAUACCGCGUGGGUGAAGAAGGCCUUCGGGUUGUAAAGCCCUUUUGUUGGGAAAGAAAAGCAGCAGGUUAAUACCCCGCUGUUCUGACGGUACCCAAAGAAUAAGCACCGGCUAACUUCGUG
rnacentral:rRNA from 1 species